UCCUGGAGGCAGCGCCGCAGGGUCCUGCAGCCUGCUGCCUUGAAAACCUCCUGGAGAUCUGUGUUCUCGAAGACAUUUUGAGGGACAAUUCCCAGAAGCCUCAGUCAGCUGAGGCAAUUCAGGAUGCAGGAGGAGCAAAAUCAUGGAGUUGGAGAGGAAAAUGCUACCCUUGGGGAGCAGGAGCCAAGGGCUGGGCAGCAAAAAUGAGGGACUGGGAGCAAAGCACAAUCUUUGACCCAUAUGAGAGCCAGUGGCCUGAAUCCUCAGCUGAAGAAGCAAAGCGGCUGAAGGGCAGCAUUGGUGGGGUUUGGCUCCUUUUUUGUGUUGUGGGGCAGCUCAAGCCUUUUUCCUUUGCAUCUUGCGGGAGGCUCUGGAGAUGUUGCUCUCAGGGGGUCCUCCAACAGCUCAAGGCCAUCCCUUGGCUGAUUAUCAUUAUGCAGGCUCUGAUAGAUGGACACCUGAGGAGAAGGAGGCCUUCCAAAAGGCUUUCCACACCUACGGCAAGGAUUUCCAUCUCAUCCAGAAGCAGAUCCCGAGUAAGACUGUGGCACAGUGUGUGGAGUACUACUACCGCUGGAAAAAAGAGCAGAAACUUGCCAGCAGCACUCUUGCUCACGUGAGUGGGAAGAAAAUCCAGACAUGCCAGCAGGGUCAAGAAACUGGCAGAAGGGGACAAACCCUGCUGUCAAGCCACACCACAUGCCGCUUUGCCAGGUUCCCUUGGUCCCACGCACUGGGAGAGGCGCAGCAGGUGCUGCCCAGACUUUUGUUGUGCUGCUGCCCUGAAAUACGGAAUUGUGGAGCACAACUUUGACCCAACAAAGCAGCACCACCAUCAAAAUGGGCUUUGACUCUCUACAAAUCGGUUUCUCAAGGGCUGGCACCCUCAGAUUCCAAUCACACCUUUCAUUCCCCACUGCUUGCUAACAUCAGCCAUCUGGGCUGCCUUCAUGGAGAUGCUGCCAAAUUUUAGAGAUCUUUUGUAGCACCCCAGCGU